UGGGGAAUUGUUCGCAAUGGGCGCAAGCCUGACGACGCAACGCCGCGUGGAGGAUGAAGACCUUCGGGUCGUAAACUCCUUUCGAUCGAGACGAAUGGCCUUUGGGUGAACAAUCCAGAGGAAUGACGGUACCGAGAGAAGAAGCCCCGGCUAACUCCGUGCCAGCAGCCGCGGUAAUACGGAGGGGGCUAGCGUUGUUCGGAAUUACUGGGCGUAAAGGGCGUGUAGGCGGCCUGCCAAGUCAGAUGUGAAAGCCCCGGGCUUAACCUGGGAACUGCAUUUGAGACUGGCCGGCUAGAGGUUGGAAGAGGAGAGUGGAAUUCCCAGUGUAGAGGUGAAAUUCGUAGAUAUUGGGAAGAACACCAGUGGCGAAGGCGGCUCUCUGGUCCACACCUGACGCUGAGGCGCGAAAGCGUGGGGAGCAAACAGGAUUAGAUACCCAUGUAGUCCCUGAGCGGGCUGGCAAGGCGCAU
rnacentral:rRNA from 1 species